GAAAUGCGAUAAGUAGUGUGAAUUGCAGAAUUCAGUGAAUCAUCGAAUCUUUGAACGCACAUUGCGCCCCUUGGUAUUCCAUGGGGCAUGCCUGUUCGAGCGUCAUUUGUACCCUCAAGCUCUGCUUGGUGUUGGGUGUUUGUCCCCGUCUCCGCGCGUGGACUCGCCCCAAAGUGAUUGGCAGCCGGCGUACUGGUCCCGGAGCGCAGCACAUGUCGCGCAAACGAGUGCCUUGGUACGGCGGCGUCCAUAAGCCCCUCUCUCACGCUCUUGACCUCGGAUCAGAUAGAGAUACCCGCUGAACUUAAGC
rnacentral:misc_RNA from 1 species